rnacentral:rRNA from 1 species
GCGAAAGCGACGUUCAACCGCAAAAGAAGCAGAGGGGGCUUAGUGGUGGGGUGACUGCGUACCUUUUGUAUAAUGGGUCAGCGACUUAUAUUCUGUAGCAAGGUUAACCGAAUAGGGGAGCCGGAGGGAAACCGAGUCUUAACCGGGCGUUAAGUUGCAGGGUAUAGACCCGAAACCCGGUGAUCUAGCCAUGGGCAGGUUGAAGGUUGGGUAACACUAACUGGAGGACCGAACCGACUAAUGUUGAAAAAUUAGCGGAUGACCUGUGGCUGGGGGUGAAAGGCCAAUCAAACCGGGAGAUAGCUGGUUCUCCCCGAAAGCUAUUUAGGUAGCGCCUCGUGAAUUCAUCUCCGGGGGUAGAGCACUGUUUCGGCUAGGGGGCCAUCCCGGCUUACCAACCCGAUGCAAACUGCGAAUACCGGAGAAUGUUAUCACGGGAGACACACGGCGGGUGCUAACGUCCGUCGUGAAGAGGGAAACAACCCAGACCGCCAGCUAAGGUCCCAAAGUCAUGGUUAAGUGGGAAACGAUGUGGGAAGGCCCAGACAGCCAGGAUGUUGGCUUAGAAGCAGCCAUCAUUUAAAGAAAGCGUAAUAGCUCACUGGUCGAGUCGGCCUGCGCGGAAGAUGUAACGGGGCUAAACCAUG